rnacentral:misc_RNA from 1 species
AUGAGAACUUGCCCUUACGGGUAGAUCUCCCACCCUUUGUAUAUCAUACCUUUGUUGCUUUGUCGGGCCCGUCUCUCGGGACCGCCGGCUCCGGCUGGCCAGCGCCCGACAGAGGAUCCAAACUCUUUAAUCACUGUCGUCAGAGUACUAUAUCAAUAGUUA